GAUGAACGCUGGCGGCGUGCCUAAUACAUGCAAGUCGAGCGAACGGACGAGAAGCUUGCUUCUCUGAUGUUAGCGGCGGACGGGUGAGUAACACGUGGAUAACCUACCUAUAAGACUGGGAUAACUUCGGGAAACCGGAGCUAAUACCGGAUGAUAUUUUGAACCGCAUGGUUCAAAAGUGAAAGACGGUCUUGCUGUCACUUAUAGAUGGAUCCGCGCUGCAUUAGCUAGUUGGUAAGGUAACGGCUUACCAAGGCAACGAUGCAUAGCCGACCUGAGAGGAUGAUCGGCCACACUGGAACUGAGACACGGUCCAGACUCCUACGGGAGGCAGCAGUAGGGAAUCUUCCGCAAUGGGCGAAAGCCUGACGGAGCCACGCCGCGUGAGUGAUGAAGGUCUUCGGAUCGUAAAGCUCUGUUAUUAGGGAAGAACAUAUGUGUAAGUAACUGUGCACAUCUUGACGGUACCUACUCAGAAAGCCACGGCUAACUACGUG
rnacentral:rRNA from 1 species